rnacentral:rRNA from 1 species
ACUGGUGGCGACCGGCGCACGGGUGAGUGACGCGUAUGCAACCUUUUUAUCAAAGGGGAAUAACCCGGCGAAAGUCGGACUAAUCUCCGCAUAAAACAGGGACACCGCAUGGUGAUAUUUGUUAAAGAAAUUCGCUGAUAGAUGGGCAUGCGUUCCAUUAGGUAGUUGGUGAGGUAACGGCUCACCAAGCCGACAAUGGAUAGGGGAACUGAGAGGUUGGUCCCCCACACUGGUACUGAGACACGGACCAAACUCCUACGGGAGGCAGCAGUGAGGAAUAUUGGUCAAUGGGCGAGAGCCUGAACCAGCCAAGUCGCGUGAAGGAAGAAGGAUCUAUGGUUCGUAAACUUCUUUUGCAGGGGAAUAAAGUGCAGGACGUGUCCUGUUUUGUAUGUACCCUGAGAAUAAGGAUCGGCUAACUCCGUGCCAGCAGCCGCGGUAAUACGGAGGAUCCGAGCGUUAUCCGGAUUUAUUGGGUUUAAAGGGUGCGUAGGUGGUUUGAUAAGUCAGCGGUGAAAGUUUGCAGCUUAACUGUAAAAAUGCCGUUGAAACUGUCGGACUUGAGUGUAAAUGAGGUAGGCGGAAUGCGUGGUGUAGCGGUGAAAUGCUUAGAUAUCACGAAGAACUCCGAUUG